CUUGGGGAUCUUGCGCAUGGGCGGAGCCUGAGCAGCGACGCCGCGUGAGGGAUGACGGCCCUCGGGUUGUAAACCUCUUUCAGCUCCGACGAAGCGGAAGUGACGGUAGGAGCAGAAGAAGCACCGGCCAACUACGUGCCAGCAGCCGCGGUAAUACGUAGGGUGCAAGCGUUGUCCGGAAUUAUUGGGCGUAAAGAGCUCGUAGGCGGUCUGUCGCGUCGGCUGUGAAAACUCGGGGCUCAACUCCGAGCUUGCAGUCGAUACGGGCAGGCUAGAGUUCGGCAGGGGAGACUGGAAUUCCUGGUGUAGCGGUGAAAUGCGCAGAUAUCAGGAGGAACACCGGUGGCGAAGGCGGGUCUCUGGGCCGAUACUGACGCUGAGGAGCGAAAGCGUGGGGAGCGAACAGGAUUAGAUACCCUGGUAGUCCACGCCGUAAACGUUGGGCGCUAGGUGUGGGAUCCCUUCCACGGGUUCCGUGCCGCAGCUAACGCAUUAAGCGCCCCGCCUGGGGAGUACGGCCGCAAGGCUAAAACU
rnacentral:rRNA from 1 species